GGGAUUACCUCAGUAACGGCGAGUGAAGCGGUAACAGCUCAAAUUUGAAAUCUGGCCUCACGGUCCGAGUUGUAAUUUGUAGAGGAUGCUUCGAGCAUGGUCUGGCCUAAGUUCCUUGGAACAGGACGUCAUAGAGGGUGAGAAUCCCGUAUGCGGUCAGGUGCCUACGCUCAUGUGAAGCUCCUUCGACGAGUCGAGUUGUUUGGGAAUGCAGCUCAAAAUGGGUGGUAAAUUUCAUCUAAAGCUAAAUAUUGGCCAGAGACCGAUAGCGCACAAGUAGAGUGAUCGAAAGAUGAAAAGCACUUUGGAAAGAGAGUUAAACAGUACGUGAAAUUGUUGAAAGGGAAGCGCUUGCAACCAGACUUGCGCGCGGCCGAUCAUCCGGUGUUCUCACCGGUGCACUCGGCCGUGCUCAGGCCAGCAUCGGUUUUGGCGGCUGGAUAAAGGCCCCAGGAAUGUGGCUCCUCUCGGGGAGUGUUAUAGCCUGGGGUGCAAUGCAGCCUGCUGGGACCGAGGACCGCGCUUCGGCUAGGAUGCUGGCGUAAUGGUUGUAAGCGGCCCGUCUUGAAACACGGACCAAGGAGUCUAACAUCUAUGCGAGUGUUUGGGUGUCAAACCCAUACGCGUAAUGAAAGUGAACGGAGGUGAGAACCCUUAAGGGUGCAUCAUCGACCGAUCCUGAUGUCUUCGGAAGGAUUUGAGUAAGAGCAUAGCUGUUGGGACCCGAAAGAUGGUGAACUAUGCCUGAAUAGGGUGAAGCCAGAGGAAACUCUGGUGGAGGCUCGCAGCGGUUCUGACGUGCAAAUCGAUCGUCAAAUUUGGGUAUAGG
rnacentral:rRNA from 1 species